GACGAAGGAUGCAAGCGUUAUCCGGAUUCAUUGGGUUUAAAGGGUGCGUAGGCGGUCUUAUAAGUCAGUGGUGAAAUCUCUCAGCUUAACUGAGAAACUGCCAUUGAUACUGUAGGACUUGAGUACAGAUGAUGUUGGCGGAAUAUGACAUGUAGCGGUGAAAUGCAUAGAUAUGUCAUAGAACACCGAUUGCGAAGGCAGCUGACAAAACUGUAACUGACGCUGAGGCACGAAAGUGUGGGGAUCAAACAGGAUUAGAUA
rnacentral:rRNA from 1 species